rnacentral:lncRNA from 1 species
GGUUGUGAUUGAAUUGGUCAAGCGAUUUACAGAAGGCAUUGGUUGCCGCUACUGCUAGGCCAGUGUUCUGUUUCUCCGAAUAAUUGUUUUGUCUUUACCAAAUUACUGUUAAGAUAUAGUUUAAAUGAAAAGUGCUAAUCUGGUUCUAGAAAUUUUUGUGAACUGAUAAAUACUGAAAUUUGUUUGUCCCUUAAUACAGAAGUCUGAACUCUAAAGUUUAACCAAUUCUGGCUAUUCGUUUCCUACUUGUGAAGUAGAUUUUUUAUCACCUACGCAUCUCAUGGCAUUCAAGAGUUUCCAUUGACUUGACUUGGCAUGUCACAUCUGGUUACCGGUGUUUACACUCCAUUGGUGUUUCCGUGAAAGCAGGGGCACAAGGACUCGACCCAUUGGUUGACUGGAAUAUUGGAAAUAGUUGGAGUAACUGUCAACAUGGCUGUGGUGCUUCUGGCAAAAAACACGGCUACGGUAAGGGGGACACUGACCACUCAAUUUAGAAAUUAUAUGUGCCUCUCUAGCAAGUAUUUUUAAACAUGGCUACGGAAAGAGAAACUGGGUAUCCCAAGGUUCGCGUUUCUCUGGCCAGUAUUUUUUUGAAUUUUUUGGAGAAGGGAUUUAAUUUAAGUAAUUAAAUUACUCGUAUAUUUUAAUAAAUUAUUCAGAUUUAUGGUUACCCAGAUUUCAUUUGAUUUUGUGGCUAGCCUCUCUAGCUGUAGGCCCACCGCAUCUUCUGGAUGGCUAUGGGUGAGAGCAUCCAAGCUGUGGAUUUGUCUCAAGGAAAUUUGCGAAAGAUCGGAGAUCACAUCG